AAAGUUAGAGGCUAAGUGGGGUGGUAAAAGCAGAAGCCAUGUGGUUAUAUGAUUAUUUUAAGGAAGACACAAUGAAGAGGAAAAGGCUGAGUGCUCAGGAUUAAAAACAGCUGGAGGACAUGAACAGGAAGAGGAACCAGUGGCAUAAACAAGAACUGACCGGUCAGGCAGGUCAGAGAGGAGGACAGCCACAGCUAACUAUACCACGGGAAACCCAAGGAAGAUUCCGUUCCAGAAGAAUGAGAUUCCUACCAUUUGAGGUGGUCCACCACAUGGCUGUGUUCAGAGAAAUAAUGUCACAUUGUGAGGCCGGGCAGGAUCUUCGCGGUUAAAUAUUUUACAUGGCUAAGAACCAUUUCUUUCCCAGAAGAGCAGCUAGUGCUAGAAUUGAGUUCAACAGCAGGCCUCCCAGUUGGCGUCCUGAGAACUCCUUGUUGGUGGUAUAUGGGAAACCCCCUACAUACACACACACUGGAACCUGGCCUUGGAAUACCACUUACUGCCAAACUGACAGGUCUAGCAAACUCCUGAGAUGCCUGAGAUGGAACAGAGAGAAGCUUGAAGUGCACCUACGAAUGAAGACAGAAGAGUAACGUCUCAGAAGACCACUGGGAUAGACCUGGGACGGGUGGUUGUUGCUGGAAAUCCAGGCUUAGUUCCCUUAGUGGCCUGUUACUCUAGGCUCUUCUCACUCUCAGGCCCUCCUUUCUAAUUCAAAACAGAAGAAUAGCAGAAUAGGACUCAUGUACUGGUAAAAGUUAUGAAAAGAAUGAAUGGGAAAAGCAUUGUCUCUUAAGACUUUUUCGUUUCUCACAUAAAGCAUUAUUCAGUGUUAUAAAGUUUUGUAAUAGAAUCAUAAAUUUCCAGUUAGGCAAGAUGCUGAUUCCAUUCAUUUAUAGAAGAAGAAAUUCCAUCUUCAUGAUUUGGUCAAAGUCACCCAAUUAUUUAGUGACAUUCUGUGCUUCCUAACUCCUAGUUCAAAACUUUGUGGGUUAUUAUGAACCAUCAAUACAAAUCAAUUCACAGGCCAAUCCUUACAUGUCUGUUUAUGUCUGGGCUAUAGAGCAAUAAACUUCAAAUGUAUUUCUUUUUGUGUUUUUCAAAGACAAUCUUACCCCAAAUGAAAAGAAAAAGGAAAACUAAAAAUUUUAGAAAGAAAAAUUAGUCACUUAGCAAGUUAACUGCUCCACCCUAGAUUCCUUCUCUGAUAGACUGAUAAAAAUAUUUUUGGUGCCCAUGAAUUUCCCAAGUUGUUGUAGGGAAAGGGACAAAAAGGCAAUAUAUGUCAUGGGAGAUAGUAAUCCAGAGAAGCAGGAAACAAAGGGUAGGCAGGGGUUGGUGACUGUUGUAAAUGGAAGAAGGGAAUUAUAAGGGGUAUAACUGAAUACCAGUAGAUUGAAGUACAGGAUCUCUCAGAAUUCUGUACUCAGAAUGAGAGACCAUUUCUCUAGGUCUUCAGAAGAAGAUAAGUAUAAAGAAAAAGAACUGGAAUGAAUCCUACAGACAGGAGGGGUAGUAGUAGCAGCCGGGAGGAUUCUUGGAAAAUUCAGAGGGAUGAGCAUAGCAGUAAGAAUAGAGUGACUGAACUAGCCUGCUUCUCUCAGCUCCACAAGGGGAGACAAGAGAUAGCAAAAGUGUUUUAGUGAGGAUUCAGAUCAGGGGUAUAGGGGCGUCUGGGUAGCUCAGUUGGUGAAGCGCCUGCCUUCAGGUCAAGUCAUGAUCCCAGAGUCCAGGGAUCCAGCUCCACAUCAGGUUCCCUAUUCAGUGGGGAGU